UAUUCAGCCGCUACCAUAAUGAGACCCUCUCAAAAGCUAUUGUCUGCAACUCAAAACAUUACACACAUAAGCCUCGAAUCAAACAAAACUCAAACACCCAUCAUCAUUUUCACUCCCCCUUCCCCUCAAUAACUAACCGGCGAGCACAGGGAAGCCCGGCUGGACUUCGGUGACGAGACCAACAGAAUAACUGGUCGACCAAGCACACCAGCUCCUCCCUUGACUCCCUGACCUCACGGUGGCGUGCGGCGGCGCGAAGACAAACGCGAAAAGAGAGAGGAAGAGAGAAGAGGAUGAUGACGACGGCGGCAGAAGUCACCGGCGACAACAGUGGCGGCGGCCUACGACGUUUCUCCGACAAACCUCCGACAAAAAAAACCGGUAAGCUUCUGAUUCUUUCUUGAUCUCGUUUCAUUUCGAUUCGGUUCAAUCCAUCGUCUCCGGUCAGAUUCGUGUUGGUUUAGGUGACGGUGACGGUGACGACUGAUGGUGACAAUGGUAUGACGCAGUAACGGCAGCGGGCCGCUACCGGCGGUUCGGGUCAAGUUCGACAGAUUCAGGUUACGAUUCUGAUGUGUUGAUUUACAUAAGUGCUAACAACCUCACCAUCUUGACAACCUACCUUGCGACACCCUUACAAAUGUUGUUCAGGUCACAUACUCGCUGAAGAUGAUUCACUUUUCUUUGCUUGCUAAGUUAAGGAUAACACAAUGGGAAUUCUUCCAACAUCUUACACAUUUGUAGUUUGUUUGGUUUUACUUGCACCCUAAGGUUAAUUUUUGAGAUGAUAUUCAAGACGAAGCAAGAUUUAGGGUGGACUAGAUACACAC